CUGAACGCACUGUUGAGAGACCCAGUUGAGUUUUCAGAACAGGCCUCUGAAAACAUCCCUUAGAUAAACAAAGCAACAGUAGAAACACGGGGUGUCUUUGUUUUCUUUCUUUCUUUAAUUUUAUUUAUAUUUUUCUGUGGUCUGUUGUUGUUGUUGUUUGCCUAUGUGUAUGCCAGCACACCACGUGCAUGCCAGUGCCCCCAGGGACCAGAAGAGUGUUGGAUCCCCCAAAACUGGAGCUACCGACAGUUAUGAGUGUCCUGUGGAAGAGCAGCCUGUGUUCUUAACCUCUGGGCCACUGUGCAUCUUUCUAACCAUUUUUAUUAAAAGUUUGGGUUUUUUUUUUUUUUUUAAGCUGAGUAUGGUGGUAUACACCAGUAAUCUUUUAACUUGGGAGGGGGGAAGCAAGAAGAAGAUCAUGAGUUCAAAACCAUACACAUAGAGUUCAAGGGCAGCCUGAGCUAUGUGAGGAAGCUUAGCAGCUAAAGAGUUUGGCUCAGUGGUAGAGCGCUUGCCUAGCAAGCGCAAGAGCACAAGGCCCUGGGUUCGGUCCCCAGCUCCGGAAAAAAAAAAAGAAAAGAAAAAAAAAAAAGAGUUUACCACAAAGCCUGCCGACCUGAGUUUGAUCCUAGGGCCCACAUGCUAGAAGGAGAGAACCAACUCCAGAAAGUUGUCCUUUGUCCUCUACAUGCUAACACACACACAUACACACAGGAUUUAAGCAGAACAUGAAUAAUGUAGUGAGUAAAUUUUAUUACUUAUAUUAACACAGAUCAACUGUAUAACAGAAUGCAAUGUUGUAUCAUUUAUAACAAAGUCAUAUUAUGCCUCCUGGGAUCCAUCCCAGGGGAAUAGCCCAGAACAAUUCCCAUCGUCCUUAGCAGUCACAGCCUUGAAAACAGGAUAGCUGGACUCCCUGCCCGUUACUCCACUGUCUGAAGGAAAUGGAGACCUCUUUAGCCUGUCUUGGGGACAAACCAGAGAAGGGGCUGCCUAGCCCUCUCCAAACCUCUCAUUUCUUUCUGCCUAACUGUUCAGUCCCGGGAUGGGAGAGGGGCCCUACAAAGCUGGCAGAAAGUUGGGUGGUGAUCGCCUGUGAGGUGGGCAGGUGAGGAAGAGAAGAGACAGUGUCCUGGAGUUUCGGGUCCAGUUGGAUCCCUAAGCUGAUUGCUCAGACCACUCCAGCUUGGUGGGGAAAAGCGGGGUGGGCAGCGCCAAGGCUGGCCAGCCAUCGGGGUCUUUCCUUCUGUUGACAUAAAGAGUCUGGCAGAAUCUUCAACCUGCUCUCCCAACUCUCAAGAUCUCUCUGGCCCUCAACAGUUUAUCAAACCAGCCCUUUGUGGGGUUCCCAUCGUUUCUGCCCCGUCCCCAGAGGAAAUGACGUCUUGUGAAACUCAGGACCCUAGCAGAAUUGGCCAUCUGUGAGCUCAUUGUUGUCACCCAUAGCCCUUGUCUUUGCAGCUGUAUGCCCUCACCCACCCCUGGCACAGCACCCUGCCCCCCACAGGGAGGCUUAGAUUGGCUGAGAAGCCAGCCUAGCCUCCAUCCCAGACCCUGUCCUUCUUCCUGAGGGGUCAGUCAGCAGAUUUGUAGAGAUGAACACAAAACUGCGUGGAACCACUUGUACAGCAGAUCCACUUGUACAACUGGACCCACCUAUCUAAACAGGGUUUGGAUAGAAGAGCAUAUAUAUGUUCUAAGUCUCCUCCCUGAAAAAGAAGCCUUUUGUUGUUGUGCACAGUGCCGGGAUUAAGUCCAGAAUUUUGUGCCUGCUAUAUCUCUGAGCUACACCCCAAGCCCCUAAAUCUAAUAUUUAAUCAGAUUCAAAGGGGCUUCCUGGGUACGGGGUGUAGAAGGGCACCCAUGCUUUUUUCCUUGGAGUAUUCUUUCAAGAUAAGAUUUUUAAAAGCCGUUUUCAAAAGCUGUGCUAUAUUGUAUUGUCAGUAUUUCCAUUUCAAAAAGCAGCUUCAUUUGCAAAAAAAGCCUCCGACUGGGUUUUUAACACUCCCUUAGAACAAUCAAAAUCCCACUUGAAGUCUUGUGUUGUGAGCUGUCAACAGCUUUUCACAACCCUCCGGUGGGCCAGGUGCAGCUACAAGCUUGCUUUUCCAACCAAGCUGUUUGUUGUUGUUCUAAGCAAACGAGCCAGCCAGAGAUGCUCCUGGGAACACAUUUGCAGGCUUAUUGUCUCCUCCUCCUCCGGUUACUGCUCCACCCUCUCCCCCACCACAGGGGUGCACCCUGUUCUCUAGCCGCCUACCACUUCACCAUGCUCCGAAGUUUCCAGAGGGCUGAGGAAGCCACUUGCAGUACAGACACGGAGAAAACCUGGCUGGUCUUCAGGGAUUUUCAUCUCAAAUUCUGGGGUUCCCAGAAACACCCCCACCCCCACCCCAAGAUCUGGUUUAACUUCCCAAACCCGACUGGGGCGACUUGCCAGACUGAGGCCCUGGGAACUGGUGCUCGGGUCGGGCACCGCCUGCAGAGGGAGGGGCAGGUGCCCGGGAGUCAGCGCCCGUGGACUUUAAAUUGUAGGCUCUGGCGGGUCCCACGGGAACCGAGCACAAUCAAGGGUGAGGCAUCUCUUCUGCAUGGUCAGGGCUCUGGCCACAGAGACUGGGAUGUGGGGCCAACUCUAGAAGUGCAAAUCACCCGGGAUGUGACAUUAGCCCACAACUGAUUGGAACUGAGCCACCUCUCCACUAGGGUCUUCCCAUUAAGGGGUGCAUGCUGCACAUUGCGUACAUGUGAGAAUUGUCGCCUGGAGCAGGAACCCUCCACAACACAUGCAAACGGAAGACUUUGAUGGGAAUGGCCGAACCGUGAGGCCACCAUGCUCACCGGACAAGGAUCAUAAGCUUCAGAGGUGUUUUGAAGGGAGCGAUGGACGUACCUUUUGUCUCCUUCCGGGCCACAGAGAUGUUUUGAAACAAGUAGAGAAGGAAGGAAGAUUCACUCAAACAGGGCCCCAACCCUCUUCACCUCUGUGAAAGGCAUUACAGGAUGAUGUCACCUGCUCUUACGGAAGUAUUUCGUCUUAUCACCCUAUCCGAUGUCUUCUAGCAAGUGUCAAAUCUAAAUGUCAGGAAAGAACUCUAGCUCUUGGGCCCGGGAGUUCCAGAAGCAAACACGGCACUCUAUUCUGCAGCUGUCAUUAACUGUGUCUCCUAAUCUAAGCCUAUCCCCCACCUCCCGCGGUGGAGGGGGGGAUGUUCAUAAAUGAGCGGGUCUCCCACCUGUAAAAUGAAUGUACCUGUGGGAGACCUCGGAUUCAGGGCCUUUUGCAGUUCUAAGACCUGGCUGUUCUAAAAAUCAGGCUUAUUUUAAUUUUAAAAAUAUCAGUGGUAGGAGCUAUGUUGCGCGGCUCACGCCUUUCAUCCUAGCUCUAGGAAGGCAAAGGCAGGAGAAUCUCUGUGAGUUCCAGGCCAGCCAGCCAGGAGACUCCGUCAAAAAGAUGAAAUUGGGUAGUGGGGGGGGGUGGGGGUGGGGCUGGAAAGCACAGUGGCCUGACUUCCCUGACAAGUGUCAUGUGUCAGAAGCAAACCUGCCCAGUAGCGCGAUGCUUGCCUGUCUGAUCUGGUUUGGUUCCUGCCCGCCGGGCCAGAGUGUCUGAUGUAAGUUUGGUCUUUUAUUCCAUCAGGGUCCCAGUGUCCUACAUUAAUAAAGCUUUUUCAAAAAAAAAAAAAAAACCCACACAAAAAACCAAA